GAUGAACGCUGGCGGCGUGCCUAAUACAUGCAAGUCGAGCGAACAGACGAGGAGCUUGCUCCUCUGACGUUAGCGGCGGACGGGUGAGUAACACGUGGAUAACCUACCUAUAAGACUGGGAUAACUUCGGGAAACCGGAGCUAAUACCGGAUAAUAUAUUGAACCGCAUGGUUCAAUAGUGAAAGACGGUUUUGCUGUCACCUAUAGAUGGAUCCGCGCCGCAUUAGCUAGUUGGUAAGGUAACGGCUUACCAAGGCAACGAUGCGUAGCCGACCUGAGAGGGUGAUCGGCCACACUGGAACUGAGACACGGUCCAGACUCCUACGGGAGGCAGCAGUAGGGAAUCUUCCGCAAUGGGCGAAAGCCUGACGGAGCAACGCCGCGUGAGUGAUGAAGGUCUUCGGAUCGUAAAACUCUGUUAUUAGGGAAGAACAAAUGUGUAAGUAACUAUGCACGUCUUGACGGUACCUAAUCAGAAGGCCACGGCUAACUACGUG
rnacentral:rRNA from 1 species